GGGAGACACACGGCGGGUGCUAACGUCCGUCGUGAAGAGGGAAACAACCCAGACCGCCAGCUAAGGUCCCAAAGUCAUGGUUAAGUGGGAAACGAUGUGGGAAGGCACAGACAGCCAGGAUGUUGGCUUAGAAGCAGCCAUCAUUUAAAGAAAGCGUAAUAGCUCACUGGUCGAGUCGGCCUGCGCGGAAGAUGUAACGGGGCUAAACCAUGCACCGAAGCUGCGGCAGCGACACUAUGUGUUGUUGGGUAGGGGAGCG
rnacentral:rRNA from 1 species